GAACACUUCUGAUGCUGCUUAUACGCUCGCGCGCGUUCCCGAGACACACGAGCGCGCACAUUCAGCCCUCCCCGUGCCGUCUAUCUAAAGACUGAACAGACCGAGACAUGAGGAGAGACGCGGUCCGUGACAGCACUGCUGACACACAGACACCACCACCGCUUUGUGAAUGAUGUAAAGAAAAAAAAAAGAAAAGAAAUGAUGGAAUUAUAAACAUGUAGGCUUUAUACACCUCGGCGUGAGAAUCUCUCUCUGUGUGCGCGCGCUCGCUCGCUCGCGUGCGUUUACUGGCGCUCAAACAGGAGACGUAAAACGUUUAUAGCCAUGGAAUACCCACCAAUGAUUCUGGGAGAAUGUCUUUAAUCCUUGCUUUCUGAAUACGUCCUGGAAAUGUUUCCGAAAUCACGGAGCUGUUCCGUGUUGAGGAAUAAACCGUAAGCAGCCCUGCUUUUGUUCCCAGCCGGCUGAAUAUAAACACACCACGGCGGAAGAUGCUUCGUACCGAGCUCUGUGGGAGCGGGCGACUCCGGGUGUGAGAGAGAUGAUACGAACCACGCUGAGCACUCUGCUGUGCCAGGGAACAUCACGAGCUGAGGAACGCCUCACCCGAUGAACCGGCGCUCCAGAGACACCUGUGAGAGCCUCGUCUCUUGUAAAACCGAGUUAGGAAGCGUGUCAAUCAUGCCAUACGGUUCUGGCUUGUAUGAACCCAUCCAUUCCAUUGUACUCUAUUAAUACAGAAGGGUUAGGGAGGGAUGUGAAUGUCAUACUGAUCAUGUCCUGUAAGCAAGUCAUGCAUGUAUGCACUUACAGGAGUGUUAAAAAAAACACAACAAAUUACAUAAAUCUCAGCGUUUUGAUUGCAAAUGUAAGAACCUGAACAAGUUUACCUUUAUGAUGAAGAGAGGGAUUGAUUUCGCAGAUGUUUUUUUUUCUUUUCACUCAUGUAUAAUUAAACAAAUUCAUGUUCAAUUGUAUUCCCAGCGAAGAACUUGAAACAGUCCCCACUCGUUCAGCUCAUAUUAAGAUAUUUGAUGUGUUUUAUACGUAGGCAAGGUUAUGGAAGUGCGCAUCAGACUGAAGGCGAGAGCCUCGAUGUUCUGUACGAACGCUUUUCCGGUGGCUUUUAAGAAAACUCCUUGCCAUUAAACAAAUCGGC
ensembl:lncRNA